rnacentral:lncRNA from 10 species
UUUUCUUCUACUUAUGCCUUUUGUCAGGACAAGGAGAGGGACAAAUUCCUUCUUGGCAUCCUUAUGGCCCUGUGACCUGCUAAUGAAUGCUGACUCUGAGUUGCUACUAGAAUUUGGUUUCCUUGUGGCUUCCCAGGAAUUGGUCUCACUCUGCUCACUCUGUCUCCCAAGCUGGAGUGCAGUGGUACAGUCACGGCUCACUGCAGCCUCCACUUCCUGGACUCAAGUGAUCUUCUCACUUCAGCCUUCUGAGUAGCUGGGACUACA